GUUACUAAAAUCUUCGGAAAACGCGCUAACACUAUUUUCUUCCUGUGGAUCGUGAUGUGGUGGAUCCUGAUGUCUCUGUGAAACUUGAUGGUUAUUUACGGCUAUUCGAUUCUUUUGCUUGGCGUGGGAAAGAUAUUUACAAUCUAGGGAUCAGAAAUUAUUUAGAGAGUGAAAACACGUUAUGUAUCAAGAGCAUCCGGGACACCACUCAGCAAGCGGAAAUGUGUCGAAAAUAUUUUGGGCCAUGGUUUGGAUCAUGGUAUUGAUAUUCAUAGCAUGGCCGGUAUGCUAUAUGAUGGUGGACUGGUACGUGUUUUUAAUACCGUUUUCUUAUUUGAUUUGCCCUAACGGAAAAGUGUGGAAAUAUUUGGAAUUGGUCUGGAAUUUUCCGAGGACCUGCGUUUUAAACGCCAAAGCCUGCGAACCAAUUAAAUUACACUAAUUCAUUUUAUGGGAUUUUUUUUGUUGCUGUCGGAAAUGGUCAAAAUUCCAUUUGUUAAAGUUCUAUUUUUCGUUUUUCUUAAAAUAAUGAAUGUUUUAAUUUAAU